CCUACGGGAGGCAGCAGUGGGGAAUAUUGCACAAUGGGGGAAACCCUGAUGCAGCGACGCCGCGUGAGUGAAGAAGUAUUUCGGUACGUAAAGCUCUAUCAGCAGGGAAGAAAAUGACGGUACCUGACUAAGAAGCCCCGGCUAACUACGUGCCAGCAGCCGCGGUAAUACGUAGGGGGCAAGCGUUAUCCGGAUUUACUGGGGGUAAAGGGAGCGUAGACGGCAGCGCAAGUCUGGAGUGAAAUCCCAUGGCUUAACCAUGGAACUGCUUUGGAAACUGUGCAGCUAGAGUGCAGGAGAGGUAAGCGGAAUUCCUAGUGUAGCGGUGAAAUGCGUAGAUAUUAGGAGGAACACCAGUGGCGAAGGCGGCUUACUGGACUGUAACUGACGUUGAGGCUCGAAAGCGUGGGGAGCAAACAGGAUUAGAUACCCCAGUAGUC
rnacentral:rRNA from 1 species